GAUGAACGCUGGCGGCGUGCCUAAUACAUGCAAGUAGAACGCUGAAGGAAGGAGCUUGCUCUUUCCGGAUGAGUUGCGAACGGGUGAGUAACGCGUAGGUAACCUGCCUGGUAGCGGGGGAUAACUAUUGGAAACGAUAGCUAAUACCGCAUAACAGUAGAUGUUGCAUGAUAUCUACUUAAAAGGUGCAAUUGCACCACUACCAGAUGGACCUGCGUUGUAUUAGCUAGUUGGUGAGGUAACGGCUCACCAAGGCGACGAUACAUAGCCGACCUGAGAGGGUGAUCGGCCACACUGGGACUGAGACACGGCCCAGACUCCUACGGGAGGCAGCAGUAGGGAAUCUUCGGCAAUGGACGGAAGGCUGACCGAGCAACGCCGCGUGAGUGAAGAAGGUUUUCGGAUCGUAAAGCUCUGUUGUAAGAGAAGAACGAGUGUGAGAGUGGAAAGUUCACACUGUGACGGUAUCUUACCAGAAAGGGACGGCUAACUACGUG
rnacentral:rRNA from 1 species